rnacentral:rRNA from 1 species
AGUGAACGCUGGCGGUAGGCCUAACACAUGCAAGUCGAACGGCAGCACAGUAAGAGCUUGCUCUUACGGGUUGCGAGUGGCGGACGGGUGAGGAAUACAUCGGAAUCUACUUUUUCGUGGGGGAUAACGUAGGGAAACUUACGCUAAUACCGCAUACGACCUACGGGUGAAAGCAGGGGAUCUUCGGACCUUGCGCGAUUGAAUGAGCCGAUGUCGGAUUAGCUAGUUGGCGGGGUAAAGGCCCACCGAGGCGACGAUCCGUAGCUGGUCUGAGAGGCUGAUCAGCCACACUGGAACUGAGACACGGUCAAGACUCCUACGGGAGGCAGCAGUGGGGAAUAUUGGACAAUGGGCGCAAGCCUGAUCCAGCCAUACCGCGUGGGUGAAGAAGGCCUUCGGGUUGUAAAGCCCUUUUGUUGGGAAAGAAAAGCAGCAGGUUAAUACCCCGCUGUUCUGACGGUACCCAAAGAAUAAGCACCGGCUAACUUCGUG